UAGUUAACCAUAUGAAGUAUAAAAAACAGAAAUAAAUUUGAGAGUUGAAAUAGCUCCCUUUCUUUCCAUAUAGGAGUUGGUGACUGACAUAACAAAUAAAGAAAAUGUGAUGGAAGCUACAAGAAAGCCAAAGGUGUAUGGAAGCUUUGAAGCUCUGCAGAACAGAACCUGUGCUGUGGUCGUCCCUGAUACUGAACUGGUCUCUGAAAUUAUGUUGGCUGCUGAAGGGUUUAUUGAUGCAUGUCUGUUAGCCAGGAAGUUCAUCACCUUGUAACCUCUCUGCAGGGAGCUGCUCCCUGAACAGAGUUACUGCUGUCAUGGAAGAGGAUAGAGGCAUGGCAUCUGUCAACUUAAAAUGGUGUAUUUGUAAGUUGUGAAUUUGCUUCCAGUUUUGUUGUUGUUUUUGGGUUGUUGGUUAGUUUUUUUUU
rnacentral:lncRNA from 13 species